rnacentral:rRNA from 1 species
GACGAACGCUGGCGGCGUGCUUAACACAUGCAAGUCGAACGGAAAGGCCCUGCUUUUGUGGGGUGCUCGAGUGGCGAACGGGUGAGUAACACGUGAGUAACCUGCCCUUGACUUUGGGAUAACUUCAGGAAACUGGGGCUAAUACCGGAUAGGAGCUCCUGCUGCAUGGUGGGGGGUGGAAAGGUUCGGCGGUUGGGGAUGGACUCGCGGCUUAUCAGCUUGUUGGUGGGGUAGUGGCUUACCACGGCUUUGACGGGUAGCCGGCCUGGGAGGGUGACCGGCCACAUUGGGACUGAGAUACGGCCCAGACUCCUACGGGAGGCAGCAGUGGGGAAUAUUGCACAAUGGGCGGAAGCCUGAUGCAGCAACGCCGCGUGCGGGAUGACGGCCUUCGGGUUGUAAACCGCUUUCGCCUGUGACGAAGCGUGAGUGACGGUAAUGGGUAAAGAAGCACCGGCUAACUACGUG